rnacentral:lncRNA from 1 species
UAAAUUGCUAAAAUCUGGGCUGGUGAGAUGACUCAGUGGGUAAGAACAUUUGCUGCCAAGCCUGAUUUUGAUUCCCAGAACUCACUGCUGGAAGCAGAGAAUGAAUCCCUUAAGAUGUCCUGACUUCCACACCUGGCAAAUGUACACACGUACACAAACCAAUGUAAAAAUCCAAACCAAACCAAACCUCCAAUUUGUACCCCAGACACAUAACAUUUAAAGCAGUAAGGAUCCUGUACUGUUUGGGUAUGAGUGUGUGUGUACCAGGGCAGUUGUCAUUGGCAGCCAGAAGAGCAUCAGAUACCCUAAAGCUGUCAUAGGCAGUUGUGACUUGCCCAGUGCAGAUGCUNCGAACUGAACUCAGGUCCCUUAACUGCCAAAUUAUCUUCCCAGCCCCAAAUCUGGAACUGUUGACAUGGGCUAGGGAAUUUACACUAAUGUAAUUACAAAGAUUUAGUUACAUUUGUGUGUGUUAAUACAGAGAUCUCUGUUAUUACAGAGAUUAGAGAGAUAGCUCAGAGGGCUUUGAUUAAAAUGUGCACUCAAAUACAAAAAUCAGCAAAUGUUAUCUUUUCCCUGCAUUGGAGUCUUGACAGAACUUUACAGUAGCAAACAGGCUAUACACAAGACAGAUUAUUUUCUG